UCAUGGGAGCUCAAAAUGCCCCUCCUUUCCUCCACAGGACCAGAUGCCUGAGCUAGGAGAGGCCUCAUUCCUGUUGUGAUUCUGCCAUGGAUACCUGGCUCCUAUGCUGGGCAAUUUUUAGUCUCUUGAAAGCAGGACACACAGAACCUGAAGUCACCCAGACUCCCAGCCAUCAGGUCACACAGAUGGGACAGGAAGUGAUCUUGCGGUGUGUCCCCAUCUCUAAUCACUUAUACUUCUAUUGGUACAGACAAAUCUUGGGGCAGAAAGUCGAGUUUCUGGUUAUCUUUUUUAAUAAUAACAUCUCAGAGAAAUCUGAAAUAUUCGAUGAUCGAUUCUCAGUUGAAAGGCCUGAUGGAUCAAAUUUCACUCUGAAGAUCAAGUCCACAAAGCUGGAGGACUCAGCCAUGUACUUCUGUGCCAGCAGUGAACCCACAGCCUUGCAAAGACACCUCCAGCCUGUUCAAAAACCCUCAUAG